GUAUUCGCUUCUGCGGUACAUAUACUAAAAUUGGAACGAUACAGAGGAGGUUAGCAUGACCCUGCGCAAGGAUAACACGCAAAAUCGAGAAGCGUUCCGCAUUUGU